rnacentral:rRNA from 1 species
AUUGAACGCUGGCGGCAGGCCUAACACAUGCAAGUCGAACGGUAACAGGAAGAAGCUUGCUUCUUUGCGGACGAGUGGCGGACGGGUGAGAAAUGUCUGGGAAACUGCCUUAUGGAGGGGGAUAACUACGGGAAACGGUAGCUAAUACCGCAUAACUUCGCAAGACCAAAAAGGGGGACCUUCAGGCCUCUUGCCAGCGGAUGUGACCAGAUGGGAUUAGCUAGUAGGUGGGGUAACGGCUAACCUAGGCGACGAUCCCUAGCGGGUCUGAGAGGAUGACCAGCCACACUGGAACUGAGACACGGUCCAGACUCCUACGGGAGGCAGCAGUGGGGAAUCUUGCGCAAUGGGCGCAAGCCUGAUGCAGCCAUGCCGCGUGUAUGAAGAAGGCCUUCGGGUUGUAAAGCACUUUUAGCGGGGAGGAAGGGAGUAAUGUUUAUCCCUGUGCUUCUUGACGUUACCCGCACAGAAAGCCCCGGCUAACUACGUG